CUCUGAGUCAAGAGGUCUUUCUUUUACAUGUGAAUAUAAUUGAAAUGUCUCUCCUCAGAGACCAAUGAGGAGUAUGGUGGAAUCGUCAGAUGGGCUGGAGCCUGUGGAGGCUAAACCCAGCCAUCCUGCUACUUCCUCUGGGUUGCAGAGAGACAACCAGCCCCCCUCCACCACCACCAACCGCAGCCCUUACUCCACUACCCUCCAGCUCAGAGCAGCCGUCCCUGCUCCAGGCUCAGGCCCGGGGGAGAGAGAAGAGGCGGGCAGACGACCGGUUGGAGCUGGCCUCCCAGCAGAGCACGGAGACAGGCAGUUUGGAUGGGAGCUGCAGGGACCUCCUCAACUCCUCCAUCACCUCCACCACCUCCACCUGGUCCCCGGUAUGCUGGAGGAGGCAGAGGAAGAGGAGGAGGAGGAGGAAGAGUACACACCAGAGCCCAUCUUGUGGAGGUGCCUGCGGUCAUCAGCCGUAUUGAGUCCUGGGUGUCUAAGACGCUGGAGAACCUUCAGCUGGGGAAGAGCCAGGACAGCACAGAGGAAGAGGAGGAAGAGGAGGAGGGAGUGCAGAGUGAGGAGGAGAGGAGUUGGAUUCUGCUGAUGUCACAGAGACUGGGCUGGAGAAGAUGGAGGCCAAUAUAUCACGGCUGAUUAGACCUCAUUCAUCCCUCUCUUUCUCUUUGUUUCUCGCUAAAUUCGCUCUGUUUACACUCUGUCGCUCCAUCUGUGUCACUCUGUCGCUCCAUCUGUGUACACUCUGUCGCUCCAUCUGUGUACACUCUGUCGCUCCAUCUGUGUACACUCCGUCACUUGUCUUCCUCAUCCGCCUUCACACCUGUUCCCCUAACCUGCACUCUUUCAUCUCUAUCACCCCCCCCCCCCCCCUCCCUCUUCUCACAGUUGAACCAGCAACUCUCCUCUUCUCUGUCUGUAACUUUGGACUUCAGACAUUAUCUCAGGAUCAGCCAUACACACACACACAGACACACACACACACACACACACACACACGGCAGUCCACACCACACACAGAUAGGCAGUACACACACAGACCAACCUGCAAACUACAGACAACAGUAUCUCUCCUUGUCUCUCUGAUGGAUAGACUCCUCUGUUCCUCUCAUCCUCCUCUCACUGAUGUGGACCUGGAACAACUGCCUCAGCUAAAUGGUCUGGUCGUCUGGCAUCGACUGGUCUGGUCUGACAUAUGGGCUUGACUGGUCUGGCUAAGGGAAGCCCUGGUUCCUUCCCACCACUCCAGGUUUCCCCAGGAUAGGAAGAGGCUUGGAGGAGGGUUCCCCUCUGUCUGUAUGACACAGAGCCCUCCAGAUGAUAGACCUGUGACUGCUGACUACAGACUAACUAGAAGAGAAGUCUCCCUCUUUCUGUAUGACACAAGCCCUCCGAUGAUAGACCUGUGAUGCUGACUACAGACUAACUAGAAGAGAGUCUCCCUCUGUCUGUAUGACACGAGCCCUCCAGUGAUGACCUGUGGACUGCUGACUACAGACUAAAUAAGAGAAGUCUCCCUCUGUCUGUAUGACACAGAGCCCUCCAGAUGAUAGACCUGUGACUGCUGACUACAGACUAACUAGAGAGAAGUCUCCCUCUGUCUGUAUGACACAGAGCCCUCCAGAUGUAGACCUGUGACUGCUGACUACAGACUAACUAGAAGAGAAGUCUCCCUCUGUCUGUAUGACACAGAGCCCUCCAGAUGAUGACCUGUGACUGCUGACUACAGACUAACUAGAAGAGAAGUCUCCUCUGUCAUCCCUGGGUUAUCAUGUGGAGGUCUGGUGGUUCAGUCCAAGCAGAAGGUUGCUGAGCCCCUGCAGGGCUGAGGUUUCAGCUAGACGUGUGUGUGUCUCUGUCCCAUCAUCAAGACUUAUGUUACAUUGUUGUCAUCCUUCCCAUGUUUCUCUGUCUCCCAAAACCAUCGAAAACCUUGUUAGGAUUACAAAAUUCCCCACUUUUCCAGGAAUCCCGGUUGGAAGGUCCACAGAAUCUGUUGGGAAUAAGCAGAAAAUACAUAAUCCUCCAACCUUGGAAUUUGGGAAAGUUGCUGUAAUUUGCAAACCUACACGAUGUGUUUCUGACAUAACCAUCACAGUAUCAUGUAUUAUUUUCACUGGGUGUGAUUUUAAAGGGGCAUAUCACCACUUUUUAACCUCAUAGUCUUAUCUCCAGGACCAAACCAAUUUCUACUAAUGUGAAAUGGCGUGUUAAAAAAGAAUGGCGUGUCCCUUGAAAAACUGAAUGAUAUGACAUGUCACAUGACUCAUACUAACAGUAACUGAAGCCAGAACAAAUGUCUGAUGUACAUAACCUGUAUAGCUGUUUCUGAGACUCUUUAACCUUUAUAUUGAUGUUUAUUGACAAGUGUUCAUCUGUUUGGGGUUGUUUUCUGAGUGGUGUUUGUUGUUGCUAGCUGACUUCUGUGUUUUACUAUACUCUGGUUCCAUUUGGUUAUGGUCCCAGUCCACUGACCGGUGGCAGUGUGGGCGUGUUUGUUGGGGGGGCAGGUAAAUGUACUGUAAUAGCUAUUAUCAGAGACUGUUUGGGUUUGAAGCUGACAGGUAGUCCAACUUGACCCAGGACAUGUGGACUCACUGGUCAAAGCGAGGAGGGGUCAAAGGGAGGAGCACACACGGGCCUCUGUAUUCAUGAAGUAAUUAUCCACCUCACCACGUUAUAACCAUGUAAAUAAAAUGUGAACAUUAAAUGUUUGAAUCCAGUGUAUUAAACACCCCAAUCACCUUUUUUUAAAGCCAUUUGUAUAAAAACAUCUGAAUAAGUUGAUGUAAUUUGAUGGGAAAUGAUAGAAAUCAGUCAUGUAUUAUUAGAUGGAGGAGGAUGCCAUGUAUAGGAGUGGCAUGCUGGGUCAUAUGCAAUUGAAGGAAGGAGGUGGAGGGGAGUUGUGUAAUAAUAGAACCAGUCAGGAGUUGGGUCAAUUCAUUUUCCUCAGGAAGUGAAAUGAAAUUCAACUGACGAAAAAUGAAUGAAUUAGAAAAAAAACGCAUGUCAAUUGAAAACUGACUGUUUUCUAUGAGGAUUUCUGAUGAGUUGAAUGAGCCUUCCCUGAUACAAGUGAUCACGACAGUGUGUCUAGUACUAAAAUGUACACUGGCUGUGUGCAGGUUUCUCAGUAAACUCUCAUCAGUGUGUUUUGGAGCCAUGACAACCAGUGUGUCCUUUGCACUAUGUAAAUACCAAUCUUGUAACAACCACCUGGUAACUAAUGUCAAACAAAAAUGGUUGAAUGAAGUAGCUUUUCUUUUCCCAGUGUGUCCCUGGUCUUUCUAUGUCUCUCUUACUGACUGUACAGCAACAGCAACAUGUAGAGGUUUUCUCAUAACAUUACUGUUCUCUCCAUCUGGACUGAAUGUCAUUCAAAUGUUCUUUCAGUAAACUACAUACACUCCUGUCUUUUAUUUUGUCUUGUCUAUUUGUUGCAUGUAAAUCUCCUAUAUGUUUGAUAGGGAUCUUUGUGUAACUAGGAGUAUUAGCCUAAAGCACGUGUCAAACUCCAGUCCUCGGGGGUCGGGGGUCUGUGGAAUUUUGCACCUCCCUUGUACUGAUUGAUCAAUUAAGGUAAUUCAUUGAUUAGUUAGGAACUUCUAGGUCUUAAUUGGACACAUGAAAGGAAAUAACAAACCAGCAGACACACGUCUCUCCAGGAAUUUAGUUUGACACCCUAAACUUUGGUUGAUUGCUAAUCCAAUAUGGCCGCCUGAAUCCUGCUUACUUACUGCAUUGGCACGGACAGAGCAAUGAGACCCAUAUAUCACUGGAUGUAUAAAUGUGAAGCAUCCUGUUGGUGUUUCCACUCACUACAAAACAUGAUGAUGAGAGGAAGCCCACUGGUGGGCAGUGGGAGAAGAUGGAACGAGAUGGAUUUUGUCAGACAUUUGGUACAUUUUCUCAUUGAUGAAACCUUUGAUCUCUACAGUUUUCUGUUUUCAAAACUAGAAUCUGUUAUGAGUGGACUACGUUUUGUAGACUUUAUCUUUUGCAACAUAUUUUAAGAUUGCGCUGUUUAGAAGGAGUGCAAAGGUGAAUUGAGUUAUUGCACAUGCGCACUUCACAGAGUAGGCGUUCCCUAACAGAAAUAUGCAGAUGUAUACUAAAACACGCCAAUAGGAUAUCACUAGCGCAUGCUUCUUCUGCCCGCUAUGACUAAUUUGUUCCCAUUGGAAAUGACAAGCUGUGGUCUUUCUUGUUUAGUUAUACAAAUCUUUGGCAUUGGUGAUACAUUGGGUUGUUAUUUGUGAACCCAACUAAGCCCAGUAAGUCAGAGAAAACAGGUAGGCCUAGAGGAUAAAACUUGAAUCCAAACGUAGUGUCUCGAGGGGGAAAAACGGCAUUUAUGUCUUAUUAUUUAACUUCUUGUCCGUAUGUUAAAACAUGAAAAUAGCUCCCAUGCUGUACAACCAAGAAGUGGMCCUCCAGUGUAGUUCUGACCGACUAUAUAUCAUAUUUAUACGUUUCUUCUGAUACAGAUUUACUGUGUAUCAACUGUAGGUGUUAGUCAAGUACAUCUAUUCUGGAGUAGCUUACAGACUAUUCUCUAAUGUUUUCUUUUAUUUAUGUUUAUAUAAAAGUAUCAGUAACUAUCACAAGUUCAGGCUUCUGCUGACAGUAUCCUAUUGGUUAUUGUCUUCCCACAGUCUUGUGUUUGUGUUCACUGGUUAGCCUUUCUGAGAGACACUUUUUGAGUGAGACACUUUCUGAGAGACACUUUCUGAGUGAGACUUUCUGAGAGAGACAUUUGUCUCCUGGAGAGAUGUGUUAUACUCAAUGGAGCCUGAGGGAGAUCCUGGAGUCUUGAGCAGGAGGUUGAGUCAGAGAGAGAGAGGCUGUCUGAGGGAGAUCCUGGAGCCUGAGCAGGAGGUGAGUCAGAGAGAGAGAGGCUGUCUGAGGGAGAUCCUGGAGUCCUGAGCAGGAGGUGAGUCAGAGAGAGAGAGGCUGUCUGAGGGAGAUCCUGGAGUCCGAGCAGGAGGUGAGUCAAGAGAGAGAGGCUGUCGGAGG
ensembl:lncRNA